CGCUUUUCACUCUAGCUCUUUUUCAAGAUAGUGAUCGAAUUUGCAUUCAAGUUUUAUUUUUUAUAUGCUCUCUUAUAAAUGCAAAUGGGAAAAAGGGAUAUAUUUUCCUAAACUAUGUUAUAAGUAAAGUCAAUGAGCUAUAUCAGGACAAGAUAGAGAAACUAUCACAAGAACAAAUUCACCAUUAAUAAUCAUGAAAUGAUGGUCUUUUUAAUAUUUCAGAAUAAAUUGCAUAAGUCUAACAGCUAAUUAAGAAAUUACUAAUUAUAACCUGAGAAAAUUAAAUGCAGUCUCAAAGAAAUACUUAAUUUCUAAUUUUACUAGGCAGAGUGGUUGCUGUACUUGGACAUUGAAGUGCUAUAUUUAGACUCUGUUGGCUGCUUUUUCCCCUAUUCUUUUAGAUACUUGGCUUGAACGUUUGUUGAACUCAGUGGAUAACUAUUUCGUACUUUAAAAGACAAUGUUUGGAAUCAUAUCAGGUGCACAGUUGCUCCAGUUUUAAGUGGAAAAUCUCAAAGGAAAAGAAAGGUUCUGAAAAGAGUAAAGGAGGGUAUUCAGAAAAAAGUGGAGAAAAUGUUUGAAACUGACGUAGAUGGAAGUAAGACGAUCAAACAUAUUGAGAGUGACCUAUACGAACGAUUUCAGGU